rnacentral:misc_RNA from 1 species
GGCCGUUAGUUCUAACUAUUUCAUAAACUCGGGAUCUACAUGAAUCAACAGUCCAGAUUAUAGAACAUCAUAAUAUGCAGGCAGCCAAUAAGGCAAGUGCAGCUACAACUGCUGAGAAAGGCUUCAAGUUGCUGCAUAAGUCAAUAUCUUGCGGAAGCCCCUGUUGUGCUCUAGCAAUUUAUCCCAUGGAGGCACACAUUCUUUAAUAGUUGGGAGUUCCAAAAACUUGGCAAACCAAGCAUCAAGCAGAGGCAUGGUCUUUGCAUCAAUCAGGUUCACAUCUGCUAUUUUCUCAACUAUACGAGCCCAUAUUCCAAUCCAGCCAACGGCAACGUCCACAAAGUUUA